rnacentral:tRNA from 1 species
UGUGUAUAAGAGACAGGCCUGGUAGCUCGUCGGGCUCAUAACCCGAAGGUCGUCGGUUCAAAUCCGGCCCCCGCAACCA